UGGCAGGAAUGUUCUUGCUGAUGCAACUCUUACCUCUCGCAUAUCGAUCCAGAAAUUUUGUUGUGUAGUCUCACAGUUUAGCAAUUUCAAACGCGGGCAUACAGUUUAGCAAUUUCAAACGCGAACAAGAAAUAAAUGAUGCCUUUGGUCUGCCCCAAGGUAGUAGGAUUACUCCCCCAGGACAUACAGACUUAUCGGAAGUAUGCAUAGAGUUCAACAGACAGGCCUCAAGCAUUAGUACAAAAGGGGUACACAACCUGAAGGCCGCUGAAUUCAUAGUAUCGAAGCCAUUAGACGAGAAUUCAAGCAGAGUCAAUUGCGAAUGCUUCAAGGUAGUAGGAUUAUUCCCCCAGGGCAUUUUUCAAAUGUGCGGAAUCAAUGUACUCUAGCUUGCCUUGCAAUUCUAUUGGAUGGACUAGAGCAUACCCCACGGUAAUGACUGAAAAGUUCUCAAGGUAAUAUCAAGACCCCCCAUUUUGAUCUUGUGAUUUAACCAAGCUUCAUAAAACAAGAAGGAAUAUACUUACGUUAGCUUGCUCGCUCUGCAGUGAGCAGUCAGGCAUUUGUUCGAUUUACAUCAGAGGAAAUACGACGGCGACAAUCUUCAGAGCCCGACCACAAAGAUUUGUUUGGUUGGCAAGACCAUCUCUGGAAAAUUACAUGACAGAGCAAGCGCCAGACUCCUCAUAGACGACCACUUGUGGCCCCGGCGGGCAGUGGUAGUGGUAGCAACCAGGAUAACACUGUGGGGCAGAAUCAUGGCGCGUCCAAGCUUCUUGUGGAGGCGGUUGACGAGGCAGACCACAUCGAUGCCAUCACCGACCACCUCAAGUCGAUACAUCCGUUUGAGCGAGAAGCAAUUCUGGGCGCGGAGGGGGGGGGGGGGGGGGGGGGGGGGGGGGGGGGGGUGGCGGAGCAGAGAAAGAAACAAGUAACAUUGUCAAAUUUUGAGUUGCGCACAUUACAAUGUAGUUCACGGGAAAAGCUAAUCAUAUGUCUUUUUGUUAGAAUAAAUGGGCUUGGCUUGCUACAUGAAGAUUUUCUAAAAUUCCUAAUGUAAAUCACAAAGGCCCAUGUAUAAAUGGCAAAUGAAGGUGCAAUCUUUAGUCCCACCCUGAAAGUGAAGGAGGUGUGAGAAACGAAAUCUACCACUCCACUAAAUGUUCGGUAUAAAGAGAGAAAGAGAACACCACAUGUGAGUUCGCUUAUAUAUAGAGCGAGAGAGCAGGUUUUCGAAA